rnacentral:rRNA from 1 species
AACCAAAAAUAGCUCAAAACAAUAGAUCUCUUAAAACAAUUUAAUAAACUUAAACAAAACAUUCACAUUCAUUAAAGUAUAGGUGAUAGAAAUUAUACUAGGCGCUAUAGAGAAAGUACCGCAAGGAAAAAAUGAAAGAAAAUUAUAAGUAAAAAACAGCAAAGAUCCACCCUUGUACCUUUUGCAUAAUGGUUCAACUAGAAGUCAUUAGCGAAAAGAAUUAAAGUUAACUAACCCGAAACCAGACGAGCUACCCAAUAAUAGCUAUAUGAGCAAACUCAUCUAUGUGGCAAAAUAGUGAGAUAAUUAUUAGGUAGUGGCGAAAAACCUACCGAGCCUGGUGAUAGCUGGUUGUCCGGAACAGAAUUUUAGUUCUAACUUAAAUUUACCAAAAACCAAACAAAUUAAACUGUAAGCUUAAGAAAUAUUCUAAAGGGGUACAGCCUUUUAGACAAGGGAUACAACCCUCAUUAGAGAGUAAAAACAAGAAAACCACAAUAGUUGGCCUAAAAGCAGCCACCAAACAAGACAGCGUUCAAGCUCAACCGCAUUUAAAAAUAAUUCCAACUAUAAUAAUUUACACUCCUAAUAUAAAACCGGACUACUCCAUUCUUGAAUGGAAGCAACAAUGUUGAUAUGAGUAACAAGAAAUAAUUCUCCUAGCACAUGUGUAUAUCAGAACGAAUGCAUCACUGAUAGUUACCAAAACAGUCAUAACCUCUAAUUAAAAUAAUACCACUAAUUGUUAACCCCACACAGGAGUGCAACUAAGGAAAGAUUAAAAAAAGCAAAAGGAACUCGGCAAAUACGAACCCCGCCUGUUUACCAAAAACAUCACCUCUAGCAUAAAAAGUAUUAGAGGCACUGCCUGCCCGGUGACUCCAGUUUAACGGCCGCGGUAUCCUGACCGUGCAAAGGUAGCAUAAUCACUUGUUCUCUAAAUAGGGACUUGUAUGAAUGGCCCCACGAGGGUUCUACUGUCUCUUGCUUUCAAUCAGUGAAAUUGACACCCCCGUGAAGAGGCGGGGAUAAUACAAUCAGACGAGAAGACCCUAUGGAGCUUUAAUUAAUUAACUUAUUAUAUUUAACAAAACUCUCUAUAGAGACUAAAAACUAUUGACUAAGUUAACAAUUUAGGUUGGGGUGACCUCGGAAUAAAAAUCAGCUCCCGAGAAAAACUAUUAAGACUUACAAGUCAAAAUUAACUCAAUAUACAUUGAUCCGCCAUAGGCGAUCAACGAAACAAGUUACCCUAGGGAUAACAGCGCAAUCCUAUUUAAGAGUUCAUAUCGACAAUCAGGGUUUACGACCUCGAUGUUGGAUCAGGACAUCCCGAUGGUGCAGAAGCUAUUAAUGUGUUCGUUUGUUCAACGAUUAAAGUCCUACGUGAUCUGAGUUCAGACCGGAGUAAUCCAGGUCGGUUUCUAUCUAUUAACAAGUCCCUCCCAGUACGAAAGGACAAGAGAGACAGGGCCUACUUAAAAUUAAGCGCCCUAACAACAGAUGAAUUAAUCUUAAUCUAUGCAAAUGAUAUACCACCCAAGAAUUAGGGCUUA